rnacentral:rRNA from 1 species
UACGUAGGGUGCAAGCGUUAAUCGGAAUUACUGGGCGUAAAGCGUGCGCAGGCGGUUCGCUAAGACCGAUGUGAAAUCCCCGGGCUUAACCUGGGAACUGCAUUGGUGACUGGCGGGCUAGAGUAUGGCAGAGGGGGGUAGAAUUCCACGUGUAGCAGUGAAAUGCGUAGAGAUGUGGAGGAAUACCGAUGGCGAAGGCAGCCCCCUGGGCCAAUACUGACGCUCAUGCACGAAAGCGUGGGGAGCAAGCCGG